rnacentral:tRNA from 1 species
GAGGGUAUAGCUCAGUGGUAGAGCUUGUGCUUAGCAUGUACAAGGUCCUGGGUUCAAUCCCCAGUACUUCCG